UGGGGAAUAUUGGACAAUGGGCGCAAGCCUGAUCCAGCCAUGCCGCGUGUGUGAUGAAGGCCUUAGGGUUGUAAAGCACUUUCGCCGAUGAAGAUAAUGACUGUAGUCGGAGAAGAAGCCCCGGCUAACUUCGUGCCAGCAGCCGCGGUAAUACGAAGGGGGCUAGCGUUGUUCGGAAUUACUGGGCGUAAAGCGUACGUAGGCGGAUUGUUAAGUGAGGGGUGAAAUCCCGAGGCUCAACCUCGGAACUGCCUUUCAUACUGGCAAUCUUGAGUCCGGGAGAGGUGAGUGGAACUCCUAGUGUAGAGGUGAAAUUCGUAGAUAUUAGGAAGAACACCAGUGGCGAAGGCGGCUCACUGGCCCGGAACUGACGCUGAGGUACGAAAGCGUGGGGAGCAAACAGG
rnacentral:rRNA from 3 species